rnacentral:rRNA from 1 species
UACGGAGGGUGCAAGCGUUAUCCGGAUUCACUGGGUUUAAAGGGUGCGUAGGUGGGUCUGUAAGUCAGUGGUGAAAUCUCCGGGCUUAACCCGGAAACUGCCAUUGAUACUAUAGGUCUUGAAUUUUCUGGAGGUCAGCGGAAUAUGUCAUGUAGCGGUGAAAUGCUUAGAUAUGACAUAAAAACACCGAUUGCGAAGGCAGCUGGCUACAGGAAUAUUGACACUGAGGCACGAAAGCGUGGGGAUCAAACAGG